UCCGAGAUAGUUCAAUUGGUAGAACGCCUCGCUGUUAACGAGGAAGUUGCAGGUUCAAGUCCUGCUCUCGGAG
rnacentral:tRNA from 1 species